GUAGGUGAACCUGCGGAAGGAUCAUUAAUUGAUCAAAGUGAAAAAAGGCUGUUUUUUAUUCGCAAGAACAAGGAACGCCUUUUUUUAUUCACUGUGAACUGUAUUGUACUGUUGUAAUUUUAUUGUUUAUUAUUUUUUACCUUUUCACAAGGGUAAAAGACAAAUAAAGACAACUUUCAGCAAUGGAUCUCUUGGCUCUUGCAUCGAUGAAGAACGCAGCAUCUGACUGACUUCAGUACGAGGCAUCUCG
rnacentral:misc_RNA from 1 species